rnacentral:rRNA from 1 species
AGGUUAUCAAUAGGGGGCGACGGGGGAUAACUAUUUGGAAACGAUAGCUAAUACCGCAUAACAGCAUUAAACCCAUGUUAGAUGCUUGAAAGGAGCAAUUGCUUCACUAGUAGAUGGACCUGCGUUGUAUUAGCUUAGUUGGUGAGGUAACGGCUCACCAAGGCGACGAUACAUAGCCGACCUGAGAGGGUGAUCGGCCACACUGGGACUUGAGACACGGCCCAAGACUCCUACGGGAGGCAGCAGUAGGGAAUCUUCGGCAAUGGGGGCAACCCUGACCGAGCAACGCCGCGUGAGUGGAAGAAGGUUUUCGGGAUCGUAAAGCUCUGUUGUAAGAGAAGAACGUGUGUGAGAGUGGAAAGUUCACACAGUGACGGUAACUUACCAGAAAAGGGACGGCUAA